rnacentral:rRNA from 1 species
GUGGGGAAUAUUGGACAAUGGGCGAAAGCCUGAUCCAGCCAUGCCGCGUGUGUGAAGAAGGUCUUCGGAUUGUAAAGCACUUUAAGUUGGGAGGAAGGGCAGUAAGUUAAUACCUUGCUGUUUUGACGUUACCGACAGAAUAAGCACCGGCUAACUUCGUGCCAGCAGCCGCGGUAAUACGAAGGGUGCAAGCGUUAAUCGGAAUUACUGGGCGUAAAGCGCGCAUAGGUGGUUUUGUAAGUUGGAGGUGAAAUCCCCGGGCUCAACCUGGGAACUGCCUCCAAAACUGCAUGACUAUAGUACGGUAGAGGGUAGUGGAAUUUCCUGUGUAGCGGUGAAAUGCGUAGAUAUAGGAAGGAACACCAGUGGCGAAGGCGACUACCUGGACUGAUACUGACACUGAGGUGCGAAAGCGUGGGGAGCAAACAGGAUUAGAUACCCUUGUAGUCC